AAAACUUUCAACAACGGAUCUCUUGGUUCUGGCAUCGAUGAAGAACGCAGCGAAAUGCGAUAAGUAAUGUGAAUUGCAGAAUUCAGUGAAUCAUCGAAUCUUUGAACGCACAUUGCGCCCCUCGGUAUUCCGGGGGGCAUGCCUGUCCGAGCGUCAU
rnacentral:rRNA from 1 species